UCCUACUUCUUUUACCUUAGAAUAGUUUUAAAAUUGCUUCCAUAUUUAGAAUAUGUAAUAAUAAUAUCUUCAAAGGAAAAUGUAUUAUUCUAUGUUUAAAUGUAAAAUACAGAUAUAGCAAUCGAUACAACAUGAAUGAAGAAAAAACUUCAGCUACCAUGCCUCUUACUCAGUUCUUUUAGGGAGCCUCCUUUUUACUCACUGUGGCUCCUCCGAUGCAAGGAUACCAUGUCAGCCACUAUCGCGAGAGCUUGAUCCUGCGGCCCGCCCGGCGCCGAAGCAAUCUCGGCCUCAUCCUGGAGGUGGCCGGCUUUUUUCCGCGCCGCGGCGCCCUUCUUCCCUUUCAUAAUUUCUCUGACCAGCACCGCCACCUCCUCCCAAGGAAGGCCUAUCCCACAACGCCAGGCCCACCCGCUCUGACGACAGCAUCACUGCGUUCAACCUCUGCUCGGCGUACAGCGGCCACGCCACCAUCGGCACGCCCGCCGACACGCUCUCCAACGUGGAGUUCCAUCCGCAAUGAGACAUGAACCCUCCCACCGCGGCGUGCUUAAGGAUCUCCACCUGCGGCGCCCACAGUGGCACAAGGAGCCCUGUGCCGCUCAUCCUCUCGACGAACCCUUCGGGCAGGUGUAGAAGACGUACCCAGGCAGACCCAUCUCCUUGCGGCAGUGCCGAGGUAGGCCGCGCUGCUGUCCUUUUCGUUGGGGUGGUGCACCACCCAGAGAAACCUCUGCCCGCUCGCCUCCAGCCCAGCCGCCAACUCGGCCGUCUGCGCCAUGGAUAGCGUGCCGCCGCUGCCGAAGGACACGUACAAGACCGAGUCAUCCGGCUGGUUGUCCAGCCACCGUAAGCAGCUGUGCUUGGCCUCGUCAGAGUCGGGGCACCGCUGCCGGGUGAAUCGACCCACAGCGUAUGCUGGCGGGUACACGCCCUUGUCAGAAAGCUCUUUGAACGCCAGCAGCGUCUCGUGCUCUAACGCGUCCAUGGUGUUGACGAUGAAACCUUCCGCGAGGAGGUAGUUGCGCCCGAGGUCGAUCAUGAGCUGGUACACGGGGUCGGAGCGGUUCUGGAGGGGCUCGAGGAGAUCGGCGCCGUGUACAGACACGCAGCCCGGAGCACCACGGGCUCCGGGAGGUCGCGACACUCGCAGGUGGUGGUCCUGGCGAGCUCUGGGAUGUAGAGAAACGAUAACAGCGACAUGAGGCUAGAGGUGUAGAAGACGUACCCAGGCAGACCCAUCUCCUUGCCGAUGGCGAGCGCCGCGGGGCAGAGCAUGUCGGUCACAAAGGCGGUGAUCCCCGCCGGGGAGUCGAGGAGGGAGCGCAAUAGGUCGCGUAGCGCUGGCAGGGCGCAACUGAUGACGGUGAGGAUGCGAGUCACCAAGUGCGCGUUGGCGGGGAGGUCGUCGAUGGACACCUCCGGGAGCGCGGCGACGGAGACGCCCGGCGGGAGGGAGGCGAGCGGCGAGGAGUGGCCGGGCGUGGACAGGCUGGCGUAAGUGACGAUUGUGACUGUGAAGCCGUGGUGCACGGCGAGGCGCUUCGCCAGCUCGGAAACCGGGAGGACGUGGCGCAAGCCGGAGCUCGUGAGGAUGACGACGUGCGGCGCCGCGGCCAUGACCAGCACAACGAGCGCUAGUUAAUACGUGAGACCGUGUUAGCUAGUGUGUCCCCUAGCGUUUAUUCGGCAGCAAACACGUACGCAUACUGCUUAUAAGCGCGAAGGAUCGUACUACGGAAAAUAAAAGCGUGAGG
rnacentral:lncRNA from 1 species